CAGAAGUGCGAAUGCUGACAUGAGUAGCGAUAAAGGGGGUGAAAAGCCCCCUCGCCGAAAGCCCAAGGUUUCCUGCGCAACGUUCAUCGGCGCAGGGUGAGUCGGCCCCUAAGGUGAGGCAGAGAUGCGUAGCUGAUGGGAAAUAGGUUAAUAUUCCUAUACCUCUAUACAAUGCGAUGUGGGGACGGAGAAGGUUAGCUCAGCCAACUGUUGGAUAUGUUGGUUCAAGCCUGUAGUCGUGCCUGGUAGGCAAAUCCGCCGGGCUUAGAUGAGGGGUGAUAACGAGGCUGCUUGCAGCCGAAGUGAGUGAUACCCUGCUUCCAGGAAAAGCCACUAAGCUUCAGCUUGCAGUCGACCGUACCGCAAACCGACACUGGUGCGCGAGAUGAGUAUUCUCAGGCGCUUGAGAGAACUCGGGAGAAGGAACUCGGCAAAUUGACACCGUAACUUCGGGAUAAGGUGUGCCCUAGUAGCGUGUAGAGAACAUCGAAGCGCGAAUGGGUUGCAAAAAAUAGGUGGCUGCGACUGUUUACUAAAAACACAGCACU
rnacentral:rRNA from 11 species